rnacentral:lncRNA from 7 species
GCAAUUACAUUUGAUGAAUAUAUUUUUUGCUUGAAAAAUCUGUAGAAGAAACAGACUGCUCUUUUGGAAAUGCAUGACGAUUCACUGUUUAAUAAGUUCCAGUUAAACUUAAUUAGGAGCUGCAUCUAAGGUCUCUGCAAAGCAAAAUAAUAACAAUAAAAUCCAGAACUUUGAUCUUGGUCCUGUAUAAACCACCUGAAAGGGAGGCAACUGCAAAGAACAGGAAGUACAAUCUCAUCCAGCAAAAUGGGUUUAUCAAAGCUCAAAUUGUCACGGUAAUCAGCAGCAAGUGGCUUUGUUUCUGAAGUUGGUUACUUCAUCGCUAUGCAUCAAUCAAUCAGAACAGCAGAACUAGCAUAAACCAGCUUCAGCUGCUUGAUGUUAAUGCCUGAAGGGAAGUGAGAUGCACAGCGCGUAUGCAUGCAGAACUGGUGGCAGUGAAUACAGCACAAGUCAAAACUUCAUACUACUGAGCUGAAAACUGUUAACGACGACAAAGUAAUUUCCCACAGUUCAGGACUCAGUUGCUUGGAUGACUUACACCGUUUUAUCAUUCUGGCUGUAGAAUGUUUUAUGUUGGACAUGAAAGAAUUCAAGGAGCUGUUUUGUCAGGUGGAUGCAACUCUGACCAUCAAGAAGAUUCUGGUGCUGUCUUGUGUCAUGAAACAAGAAAGAUCUAGCAAAUUGCAGCAAGCUAAGAAAAGCUAGGCAUCAUGCAAUGUUAGCUUUUCUUCGCUGUAGUGUUUUCCUGCGUUGCACACGGACCAGCAUCUGGGCUGCAGGGCAAGUCUGAAGAUAGAUGUAGCAACAAAUGUAGCUCUGAAAUAAGAAGACCUGUAAAUAUCUCAGAAGAGCUGGGUAUAUAUUUUGGUAGUUAUUUCUUGAAGGUGAUCCCAUUACAUCCUGAGUAGCUGUUGUGAAUUGUCCAUAGCUUUUGAACAUUUAGGUGACUUCUGGAGUGCUUAUCCUGUAUUUCUUUUGGGAAAUGAGGGUAGCUGCCACCAAGCAGUUCUCUUGUCCUUCUCUUAGAAGCAUUAGAUUGAAUAGGUCUUACUUUCCCUGUUCCCAGCCUGCUGCCCUUUCAUUAAGGCAGUUGUUAGCGCACAAGUCAUCCCACUAUCUUCAGUAGGAUUUUUCCUGUAAGUACUAUGUACUUUAUAUUGGAGAGGUGGCUGAAUCAGCAUCUAGUAUGCAUACAGGCCAGUUAAAAUGUUUGAUAUUGUCUCAGAUUUACCAGCUGCUGUUCUCUUCCAAAUAACAGCAUAGUUCAGGCUCAACACAAUGAUCUAUUUUUAAAAAAAGUUUGCUCAUAAAUUUCUUGUUUGCAUUCCAACAUCCUUCCUUUUUUAAGGAAAACACAAUAGCAGCAAACAAAAAUCCCCAACUAUAAACAGUGGGAAAAAAGUAAAGGAAGUUUCAGGUCACUAACUGUGCCUUUUUCAUGCUAUGUGGGAAUUUUAGCAAAACAAAUGUUACCCAAAACAUAGAUUUUUAACUAAUAAGUGAGGUAUUUUUGAAAAAAAAAAUAUAUAUAUAUAUAUAUAUAUUUAGUAACAAGUCCAGCUUGUUCACUUCGUAUUCCUUCUGUACUUUAGUCUAUCAAUACAUCAUUCAAUUGACCUAGUCAUCUAUUUCAAAGUGGAGAAGCUAUUCUGUCUCCAUGGUCAGAACUGCUCCUGAAGUUUUCUGCUCAUAUAUAUAUGAAUAUAUAGAUGAUAAUUUCAAGAUUUCUUAGACCUUAGUUUCUUAAUGAGGAGGAAUAUUCAAAUUUCAAUGUAAUAAAACCGUUUUCUUCAUAU